rnacentral:rRNA from 1 species
GACGAACGCUGGCGGCGUGCUUAACACAUGCAAGUCGAGCGGUAAGGCCCUUUCGGGGGUACACGAGCGGCGAACGGGUGAGUAACACGUGGGUGACCUGCCCUCAGCUCUGGGAUAGGCCUGGGAAACCGGGUCUAAUACUGGAUAUGACUCCAUGACGCAUGUUGUGGGGUGGAAAGCCUUGUGCGGCUGAGGAUGGGCCCGCGGCCUAUCAGCUUGUUGGUGGGGNGAUGGCCUACCAAGGCGACGACGGGUAGCCGGCCUGAGAGGGCGACCGGCCACACUGGGACUGAGACACGGCCCAGACUCCUACGGGAGGCAGCAGUGGGGAAUCUUGCGCAAUGGGCGAAAGCCUGACGCAGCGACGCCGCGUGAGGGAUGACGGCCU